UAAUAUCUGGUCCUAUCUGUCAUACACACAUACACCUUAAAGUCAGUACUAUUUACAAAUCUAGCCCACUACUAUUUUCUCUUAUCUUUUAUCUCCUCGAAAUAUGUUUAUAGCUGGUUUAUAGCCUGCUAUUCUACCUGUUCCGAGGAGUCGAAAAAAAAUACACGAAUUACCCAUCCACGUAUCUACAGUUCUACACUGUUGCCGUUAUCCCCUUCUCUUCCAAAUUUCUCGCCCCCAAAACCCUCUCCUCUGCACAGCUCCUUGCCGCACGUGCCACGCGCCCGUGCAGAACUGCAGGACUUCCGCCAUGGAGCCCGUCGCCAAGCGGCCGUCCCGUGCGGGCGGAGGCGGGUCCGCCGCCGGCGAUCGGCUGAGCGCCCUGCCGGAUGGCCUCCUCCACGCCGUCAUGUCCUUCCUCCCCGCGCCCGGCAAGCCGUGCAGACCUGCGUGCUCUCCAAGAGGUGGGUACACCUCUGGCGCUCCAUGCCUUGCCUCAACCUCCAAACCCCGGGAGUUCCCGGGAUCCAUCGAGUAUUGGGGACCCAACGAGAAAUGGGGGAAAGUGCUGGAUUUCACCACCAACCUUCUGAUGUUUCACCAUAUGCUCCCUCUCUAGACGCGUUCCGGAUUGAUACAGGAAUGGAUCUGAUGAACCCUGGCCAUUUUCGGCAUGUCGAUCGAUGGAUCCGUGGUGGCAUGAAGUACUGUCCACAAGUGGUAGACAUCCAUGUUGGUAUCUGCCUCAAGUAUGAACUGCCCCAUCUAGGAUCCUCGAGCUCCUGUCGUCUCAAGAGGUUGCGCCUUCCUGAGAGCUGAGAACUUUUACGGUACAAUAUACUACCCAUAUAUACUGGCAGUAUAUAAAAGGGCAUAUUAGGAAUUUGAUAGAAAAAUAAAACAACACUUUAGUAAUUUUUGGUUCAAAUUGAAUCUAAUUGAGAGUACCUGAUCCUGGAUCUUAUCGUGCACUAGGGGAGGAGCAUACUGAGCGUCAUUUGAUGACAAAACACAUGACGAUAGCACGAUUUAACGAUAGUAUAACGAAGAAAAGACAAAAUUACCCUUUCAAAGUUUAUACUGCAAUCUAAUUAAAUAAAAAAUUAAAUCAAUCUACACCGUUAGAUCAUAUAUACUAGCAGUAUAUUGUACCGUAAAAAUCCUCUUCUUCUGUGGCUUUGGAUAGUCGUUUCGCGGAGCACCUACGCGCUGGCUGCCCUGUUCUGGAAUACCUGGAGCUCGCUUACUGCCGCACUGAGUUUAGCCACAUUCGAUCUGGCACGUUGAAGAACUUGGCUAUUGAAUAUUGCUCAUCUCGCUCCAUACAUAGCUUGGUUAUCAUUGCUCCUCGUCCCUGCGUCUACUCAUUCGGGUUAGGGAUGGUACUGUUUCAUUGUAUGGGGUGAAUUCCCUUGUGGAGGCAUCGAUUGAUGUAAGUAACUGUCAAAUGUCGCCAAGCGGCGAGGCCAUGCUUCUCGGUGCCCUGUUCAGUGCCACCAAUUUGGAGUUGAAGGGUACUCGGGCAAUGGCAAUACUGGAUGAGGAAUUGGAUAAAUUCCCAUUAUUCAACAACCUGAGAAACUUGUCACUACACUGUUGUCUUCGAGACAAAGGUAAUUUGAGUGACAGAUUCAAGGCUCUUGGAAGAUUACUACAAAAGUCUCUUAAUUUGGAGAAGCUUACUUUGCAGGAUUUCUGGUUUUUAGGGGGCUCUGAGACUGAGAGGGCAAAGCAAAAGACCAGUACCUGUGUGCCUCUCAAAAAUCAGGAUCAAGUGUCUUUCCAAUGUCAGAAGUUGAAGUUGAUUGAAAUCAAAUAUAACAAUGAACUUCGCUGUGAUCACCAACUGUUUCAACUUAUGUGGGCUUUCUGGAGAAACCUAAAGAAGACUAGGAUCGUUCUUACCAAAAUAUAGAGAAGCCCCUGGUAUGGUACUUUCACGAGUGAUUCUCUUCCCUAUACACUCCUGAAGUUUGGCAUAUGCAAUGCCAUUUUUGGUUCUGCUUGUUGAUGGAGUAGAACCAUCUAUUAUCAACUCUCUUCUAAAUGAUAUAUGUAUUUGCGCUAUUAAUAGAGGCAUAGCAGUGUGGUAAACUACUUUUUGUUGAACGUAGUAGCGGCAUAGAAGACAGUUGGAUGUAACAACAAACAAGUAACUGAUGAUUUCAAUUUAUGGAACCAGUAGUAUCAAGUAGCAA